rnacentral:rRNA from 1 species
UAAUUCCAGCUCCAAUAGCGUAUAUUAAAGUUGUUGCAGUUAAAAAGCUCGUAGUUGGAUUUGUGGGGGAACCUCUGGCCCAUUUUGGUGCCGUGAGGRACCGCCAUCCUUGGGUGGAGCCUGUGUGGCAUUAGGUUGUCGUGCAGGGGAUGCCCAUCAUUUACUGUGAAAAAAUCAGCGCGUUCAAAGCAGGCUUAUGCCAUUGAAUGUAUUAGCAUGGAAUAAUAAGAUAGGACCUUGGCACUAUUUUGUUGGUUUGCGCACCGAGGUAAUGAUUAAUAGGGACAGUUGGGGGUAUUCGUAUUCCAUUGUCAGAGGUGAAAUUCUUGGAUUUCUGGAAGACGAACUACUGCGAAAGCAUUUACCAAGGAUGUUUUCAUUAAUCAAGAACGAAAGUUAGGGGAUCGAAGAUGAUUAGAUACCAUCGUAGUCA